rnacentral:rRNA from 1 species
AUUGAACGCUGGCGGCAUGCCUUACACAUGCAAGUCGAACGGUAACAGGUCUUCGGUUGCCGACGAGUGGCGAACGGGUGCGUAAUACAUCGGAACGUGCCCGAUCGUGGGGGAUAACGGAGCGAAAGCUUUGCUAAUACCGCAUACGAUCUACGGAUGAAAGCAGGGGACCGCAAGGCCUUGCGCGGACGGAGCGGCCGAUGGCAGAUUAGGUAGUUGGUGGGAUAAAAGCUUACCAAGCCGACGAUCUGUAGCUGGUCUGAGAGGACGACCAGCCACACUGGGACUGAGACACGGCCCAGACUCCUACGGGAGGCAGCAGUGGGGAAUUUUGGACAAUGGGCGAAAGCCUGAUCCAGCCAUGCCGCGUGCAGGAUGAAGGCCUUCGGGUUGUAAACUGCUUUUGUACGGAACGAAAAGACUCUUUCUAAUAAAGGGGGGCCAUGACGGUACCGUAAGAAUAAGCACCGGCUAACUACGUG